rnacentral:rRNA from 1 species
UACACUCCUACGGGAGGCAGCAGUGGGGAAUAUUGGACAAUGGGCGCAAGCCUGAUCCAGCCAUGCCGCGUGAGUGAUGAAGGCCCUAGGGUUGUAAAGCUCUUUCACCGGUGAAGAUAAUGACGGUAACCGGAGAAGAAGCCCCGACUAACUUCGUGCCAGCAGCCGCGGUAAUACGAAGGGGGCUAGCGUUGUUCGGAUUUACUGGGCGUAAAGCGCACGUAGGCGGACUAUUAAGUCGGGGGUGAAAUCCCGGGGCUCAACCCCGGAACUGCCUUUGAUACUGGUAGUCUUGAGUUCGAGAGAGGUGAGUGGAAUUCCGAGUGUAGAGGUGAAAUUCGUAGAUAUUCGGAGGAACACCAGUGGCGAAGGCGGCUCACUGGCUCGAUACUGACGCUGAGGUGCGAAAGCGUGGGGAGCAAACAGGAUUAGAAACCCCGGUAGUCCCA